UUUACUAUGUAAUACUUUCUGAUAUAUAGAGAUGUGACAACUCCCUCACACCCAAAUUCAAUUGAAGAUAUAAAUUAUUAAAGUCCUUGGUAAUAUAGGACCCUUAGAAUGGAAGAAUGGGGGAAGUAAAGCCUAGAACUACCAUGGGAAUGAUAACUACCUAGGCUGCUGGAGAAUAAGAAACCACAUGUAUUGACCUCUCUCAGGUCAUUGAAGAGAAAUGAAACAGUCUCCAGAGCUACUUAACAGCACAUCCAGGCUAGAGGCACAAGGAUCCUUGCACCCCCCAGGGCUCCAGCAAUGUUAUCCACUUCAUGUCUAUCCCUCUCCAGAGACAGAUCACUUUUUGAACAUUUGAGCCUUCUAUCUUCUUCCUUGGCUUUCGUUUUUGUUUUAUGCUUAAG